rnacentral:rRNA from 1 species
GACGUAGGGCGCAAGCGUUGUCCGGAAUUAUUGGGCGUAAAGAGCUCGUAGGCGGCUUGUUGCGUCGACUGUGAAAAACCACGACUCAACCGUGGGACUGCAGUCGAUACGGGCAGGCUAGAGUUCGGUAGGGGAGACUGGAAUUCCUGGUGUAGCGGUGAAAUGCGCAGAUAUCAGGAGGAACACCGGUGGCGAAGGCGGGUCUCUGGGCCGAUACUGACGCUGAGGAGCGAAGGCCAGGGGAGCAAACGGG